AUAUCCCUGGCAGAGGAGUUAUUCAAGGAUCCCAAAUUAUCCCAAAGCCAGCUGGCCUUGCAGGGCCUAGAGGACCUGAAGCUGCUCUUUGAAUACCUGAGUUUAUUUGGAAUUGCUGAUAAGAUCUCCCUUAAUCUGAGUCUGGCAUAGGGCCUGGACUAUUUUAUAGGAAUGGUUUAUGAAGCAGUAUUGCUAGAGUCUCCAGCUCAGGCCAGAAAGGAGACUGAGUGUGAGUAGUGUGGCUGCUGGCAGGUGCUAUAACAGGCUGGUAGCCCAGUUUGAUUCCAAGGCCGUAAUGUGCCUUAUGUGAGGUUGAUCAUUGGAGUAGAGAGAAUCUUCUACCUUGUGGAGCAGAAGAUGAAGAUUUCUGGUGAGAAGGUUCAAACCACAGAGACCCAAGUGUUUGUGGACAUACCCCAGAACAACUUUCUUUGAGAACAUUUGAAGAUAAUUGCAGAACUUUGGGAUGCAGGGAUCAAGGCAGAGAUGCCUUAUAAAACAACCCUAAACUGUAACCCAGUUGCACUAUUGUGAGAAAACAGACAUUCCUCUGAUGGUCAUUAUUGGUGAACAAGAACAGAAUGAAGGUGUCAUCGAGCUCUAUUCAGUGGCCAGCAGAGGGGAAGUGAGCACUAAUCAAGAAAGUCUUGUGGGGGAAAUUCAGAAGGGACUGAGU
rnacentral:lncRNA from 1 species